rnacentral:rRNA from 1 species
GACGAACGCUGGCGGCGUGCCUAAUACAUGCAAGUAGAACGCAGUUGCGAACGGGUGAGUAACGCGUAGGUAACUGCCUCAACGCGGGGGAUAAAUAUUGGAAACGCUAGCUAACAUCCCAUACUGUGAGAUGGACCUGCGUUGUAUUAGCUAGGUGGUGAGGUAAAGGCUCCACAAGGCGACGAUACAUAGCCGGCCUGAGAGGGGGAUCGGGCAAACGGGGACGUGGACACGGCCCAGACUCCUACGGGAGGCAGCAGUAGGGAAUCUUCGGCAAUGGACGGAAGUCUGACCGAGCAACGCCGGGGGAGUGAAGAAGGUUUUCGGGUCGUAAAGCUCUGUUGUUAGGGAAGCGGUAUCUAACCAGAAAGGGACGGCUAACUACGUGCCAGCAGCCGCGGUAAUUC